CAGUCGCCGCGGUAAUACAGAGGGUGCGAGCGUUAAUCGGAUUUACUGGGCGUAAAGCGUGCGUAGGCGGCUUUUUAAGUCGGAUGUGAAAUCCCUGAGCUUAACUUAGGAAUUGCAUUCAAUACUGGGAAGCUAGAGUAUGGGAGAGGAUGGUAGAAUUCCAGGUGUAGCGGUGAAAUGCGUAGAGAUCUGGAGGAAUACCGAUGGCGAAGGCAGCCAUCUGGCCUAACACUGACGCUGAGGUACGAAAGCAUGGGGAGCAAACAGGAUUAGAUACCCCAGUAGUCCCUGUCUCUUAUCC
rnacentral:rRNA from 1 species